GCCCCCCUGGCGGAAUCGGCAGACGCACAGGUUUCAGGAACCUGUGGGAGUAAUCCCGUAGAGGUUCAAAUCCUCUGGGGGGCA
rnacentral:tRNA from 1 species